rnacentral:rRNA from 1 species
CGCCCAACAGCUAGCCCAUCUAAACAACCACAACAAACCCCUGUCAAUAACCCCAAAAUACCCCCGUAUUUACUUUAAACAAACCAUUUUCCCCCCUUAGUAUAGGCGAUAGAAAAG